rnacentral:rRNA from 1 species
AACGCUAGCUACAGGCUUAACACAUGCAAGUCGAGGGGAAACGAUAGAGAAAGCUUGCUUUUUCUAGGCGUCGACCGGCGCACGGGUGAGUAACGCGUAUCCAACCUGCCCACCACUUGGGGAUAACCCUGCGAAAGUAAGACUAAUACCCAAUGACGUCUCUAGAAGACAUCUGAAAGGGAUUAAAGAUUUAUCGGUGAUGGAUGGGGAUGCGUCUGAUUAGCUUGUUGGCGGGGUAACGGCCCACCAAGGCGACGAUCAGUAGGGGUUCUGAGAGGAAGGUCCCCCACAUUGGAACUGAGACACGGUCCAAACUCCUACGGGAGGCAGCAGUGAGGAAUAUUGGUCAAUGGGCGAGAGCCUGAACCAGCCAAGUAGCGUGCAGGAUGACGGCCCUAUGGGUUGUAAACUGCUUUUAUAAGGGAAUAAAGUGAGCCUCGUGAGGCUUUUUGCAUGUACCUUAUGAAUAAGGACCAGCUAAUUCCGUGCCAGCAGCCGCGGUAAUACGGAAGGUCCGGGCGUUAUCCGGAUUUAUUGGGUUUAAAGGGAGCGUAGGCCGGAGAUUAAGCGUGUUGUGAAAUGUAGAUGCUCAACGUCUGCACUGCAGCGCGAACUGGUUUCCUUGAGUACGCACAAAGUGGGCGGAAUUCGUGGUGUAGCGGUGAAAUGCUUAGAUAUCACGAAGAACUCCGAUUG